UACAGAGGUCUCAAGCGUUGUUCGGAUUCAUUGGGCGUAAAGGGUGCGCAGGCGGCGGGGCAAGUCGGACGUGAAAUCUCGGGGCUUAACCCCGAAACUGCGUUCGAUACUGCCUUGCUUGAGGACUGGAGAGGAGACUGGAAUUCCUGGUGUAGCAGUGAAAUGCGUAGAUAUCAGGAGGAACGCCAAUGGCGAAGGCAAGUCUCUGGACAGUUCCUGACGCUCAUGCACGAAGGCCAGGGGAACAAACGGG
rnacentral:rRNA from 1 species